GCGCUGGUGGUGUAAAGGCGUAGAGCAUUCCCGCCCGGUCGGGUUCGAGUGCGGGUUCGAGUCCCGCCUGGCGCU
rnacentral:tRNA from 1 species